rnacentral:rRNA from 1 species
UACGUAGGGCGCAAGCGUUUGUCCGGAAUUAUUGGGCGUAAAGAGCUCGUAGGCGGCUUGUCACGUCGGGUGUGAAAGACCGGGGCUUAACCCCGGUUCUGCAUUCGAUACGGGCUGGCUAGAGUGUGGUAGGGGAGAUCGAAUUCCUGGUGUAGCGGUGAAAUGCGCAGAUAUCAGGAGGAACACCGGUGGCGAAGGCGGAUCUCUGGGCCAUUACUGACGCUGAGGAGCGAAAGCGUGGGGAGCGAACAGG